rnacentral:rRNA from 1 species
UACGUAGGGUGCAAGCGUUGUCCGGAAUUAUUGGGCGUAAAGAGCUCGUAGGCGGUCUGUCGCGUCUGCUGUGAAAACUCAGGGCUUAACCCUGAGCUUGCAGUGGGUACGGGCAGACUAGAGUGCGGUAGGGGAGACUGGAAUUCCUGGUGUAGCGGUGAAAUGCGCAGAUAUCAGGAGGAACACCGGUGGCGAAGGCGGCUACCUGGACCGGUUCUGACACUGAGGAGCGAAAGCGUGGGGAGCAAACAGG